UCAGACUUAAAAUCUGAUUCUAUAUUUGGAGUAUCGGUUCAAGUCCGGUAAUGAGUA
rnacentral:tRNA from 1 species